GCUGUGAUGGCCGAGAGGUUAAGGCGUUGGACUUGAAAUCAAUGGGGUCUCCCGCAGGUUCAAUCCCUGCUCACAGUG